GGCAAUGACCUCGCCAACAAGCUGGGCUUCGUUUACAUGGAAUGCUCCGCGAAGGAAAACCAGAACAUCGACGACGCGUUCUUCUACCUAGCAAACGAGUGGCACAAGAUGUACUCGAACGGUGUGAACUCGACGCUGAAUGCUGCUUAGGAAUGGGCGUGAAGCAGCACUCAAAUGCAUGAAGCCACCAAGACCGCGACGCCGCCUGUUAACCCAUAUCGCUGUUAUGAACGUGUGACUCGGUUGGUGCGGUUGUGUGGAAUCAGAGCUGGGCGCAAACAAUAAGGAUAAAGGAGCAAGGUGGCUCGUCAACGCGUUGGCCAACACAUGGUGCUUCAGCCGUGACGAGAUCGUGUGGUCACGGAAGUAGAAUGAGCAGGGCGGUGGCCUUGCUUUCGGUGAUAAACAUUAUGUAACAG